rnacentral:misc_RNA from 1 species
AGCUGAACAAGGCUUCCGACGAGCGCGGUAAAAUUGGUGGCUGCAGGAGUCGACACGGUAAUAUUCAACGAACCGAGGUAGUCGGUCGUCGCGAGUCCAGUAACCGGAUCAGUGAUGAUGGUUGUUGUUGCUCCUUUUCCAAGGGAUCCACCUGCACCGCCUUUCCCGAUCACCGCAUCCCCUCCAUCACCUGCCAAAAUACUGACGCCCGGUUGUGAAACCCGUUCAAACCCAAAUGUCUUCAAUGGGGCUCCCGGUAAUGUUUGGACGUUGUUAGUGGUAGCGAAACGCAAGAGAUCCAC